rnacentral:misc_RNA from 1 species
CCAAUAGCGUAUAUUAGUGUUGUUGCGGUUAAAAAGCUCGUAGUUGAAUUUCGGGAUUGGGAUAUAUCGGUCGUGCCUUUAGGGGCAUGAAACGGUGUGUGGCCAAUUUCUCACCUUCUGGUGAGUCGGGAUGCUCUUGGGUGUUUCGAUGAACCAGGACAUUUACUUUGAAAAAAUUAGAGUGUUUAAAGCGGGCAUUUUUGCUUGAAUACAUUAGCAUGGAAUAAUAAAAUAGGACGAUGGUUCUAUUUUGUUGGUUUUAGGACUACGUAAUGAUUAAUAGGGAUAGUUGGGGGCAUUAGUAUUCAAUUGUCAGAGGUGAAAUUCUUGGAUUUACUGAGGACUAACUACUGCGAAAGCAUUUGCCAAGGAUGUUUUCAUUAAUCAAGAACGAAAGUUAGGGGAUCAAAGACGAUUUAUGUACGUCGUAGUCUUAACCAUAAACUAUGCCGACUAGGAAUCAGACAAAGUUCAUUUUUUAACGACUUGUUUGGUACCUUACG